GAUGAACGCUGGCGGCGUGCCUAACACAUGCAAGUCGAACGGUCCGCAAGGACAGUGGCGCACGGGUGAGGAACACGUAGCUGACCUGCCUCAAGGUGUGGGAUAACGGUUCGAAAGGACUGCUAAUACCGCAUAAGCUCACGGUGUUUGGAAAGCUGUGAGAAAAGGAGCAAUCCGCCAUGAGAGGGGGCUGCGACCCAUCAGGUAGUUGGUAAGGUAAUGGCUUACCAAGCCGACGACGGGUAACGGGUCUGAGAGGAUGAUCCGUCACACUGGGACUGAGACACGGCCCAGACUCCUACGGGAGGCAGCAGUGAGGAAUAUUGCACAAUGGGGGCAACCCUGAUGCAGCGACGCCGCGUGGGUGAUGAAGGCUUUCGGGUCGUAAAACCCUUUUUGUGUGACGAGUAAGGACGGUAGCACAAGAAUAAGCCUCGGCUAACUACGUGCCAGCAGCCGCGGUAAGUCGUGUGACA
rnacentral:rRNA from 1 species